UAGGGAAUAUUGGUUAAUGGGCGAAAGCCCGAACCAGCAACGCCGCGUGUGCGAUGAAGGCCUUCGGGUCGUAAAGCACUUUUAAAGAGGAAGAGGAAGGACGGUACUCUUUGAAUAAGCUUCGGCUAACUACGUGCCAGCAGCCGCGGUAACACGUAGGAAGCGAGCGUUAUCCGGAUUUACUGGGCGUAAAGCGCGUGUAGGCGGUCUGGUUAGUUGGAUGUGAAAGCUCCCGGCUUAACUGGGAGAGGUCGUUCAAUACUGCCAGACUAGAGAGUGGUAGAGGGAGAUGGAAUUCCGGGUGUAGUGGUGAAAUGCGUAGAUAUCCGGAGGAACACCAGUGGCGAAAGCGAUCUCCUGGACCAUUUCUGACGCUCAGACGCGAAAGCUAGGGUAGCAAACG
rnacentral:rRNA from 1 species